GAUGAAGAACGCAGCGAAAUGCGAUAAGUAAUGUGAAUUGCAGAAUUCAGUGAAUCAUCGAAUCUUUGAACGCACAUUGCGCCCCUUGGUAUUCCGAGGGGCAUGCCUGUUCGAGCGUCAUUAAAACCCCUCAAGCUCAGCUUGGUGUUGGGGCCUGCUGCACUGGCAGCCCUUAAAAUCAGUGGCGGCGCCAUCUGGCUCUAAGCGUAGUAAUUCUUCUCGCUAUGGAGUCCUGGUGGAUGCUUGCCAUCAACCCCCAAUUUUUCUAUGGUUGACCUCGGAUCAGGUAGGGAUACCCGCUGAACUUAAGCAUAUCAAUAAGCGGAGGA
rnacentral:misc_RNA from 1 species